GAUGAACGCUGGCGGCGUGCCUAAUACAUGCAAGUCGAGCGAACAGACGAGGAGCUUGCUCCUCUGACGUUAGCGGCGGACGGGUGAGUAACACGUGGAUAACCUACCUAUAAGACUGGGAUAACUUCGGGAAACCGGAGCUAAUACCGGAUAAUAUAUUGAACCGCAUGGUUCAAUAGUGAAAGACGGUUUUGCUGUCACUUAUAGAUGGAUCCGCGCCGCAUUAGCUAGUUGGUAAGGUAACGGCUUACAAAGGCAACGAGUCGUAGCCGACCUGAGCGGGUGAUCGGCCCCACUGGGACUGAGACACGGUCCAGACUCCUACGGGAGGCAGCAGUAGGGAACCUUCCGCAAUGGGCGAAAGCCUGACGGAGCAACGCCGCGUGAGUGAUGAAGGUCUUCGGAUCGUAAAACUCUGUUAUUAGGGAAGAACAAAUGUGUAAGUAACUAUGCACGUCUUGACGGUACCUAAUCAGAAAGCCACGGCUAACUACGUG
rnacentral:rRNA from 1 species